GAAGGUUUCCUGGCUCAGGAGCAGUGCCAAGCCCAAGCUGGCUCCGGGCCCCAGCGUGGCACUGCUCCAGACCUAAUAAACCCUG
rnacentral:miRNA from 7 species